rnacentral:rRNA from 1 species
GAUGACCGAUCGUCCGGAAACGACACUAACAAUCCUUCGGGUGCGUUAAUGGGCGUCGAGCGGCGGACGGGUGAGUAAUGCCUAGGAAAUUGCCUUGAUGUGGGGGAUAACCAUUGGAAACGAUGGCUAAUACCGCAUAAUGCCUACGGGCCAAAGAGGGGGAUCUUCGGACCUCUCGCGUCAAGAUAUGCCUAGGUGGGAUUAGCUAGUUGGUGAGGUAAUGGCUCACCAAGGCGACGAUCCCUAGCUGGUCUGAGAGGAUGAUCAGCCACACUGGAACUGAGACACGGUCCAGACUCCUACGGGAGGCAGCAGUGGGGAAUAUUGCACAAUGGGCGAAAGCCUGAUGCAGCCAUGCCGCGUGUAUGAAGAAGGCCUUCGGGUUGUAAAGUACUUUCAGUUGUGAGGAAGGGGGUAACGUUAAUAGCGUUAUCUCUUGACGUUAGCAACAGAAGAAGCACCGGCUAACUCCGUGCCAGCAGCCGCGGUAAUACGGAGGGUGCGAGCGUUAAUCGGAAUUACUGGGCGUAAAGCGCAUGCAGGUGGUUCAUUAAGUCAGAUGUGAAAGCCCGGGGCUCAACCUCGGAACUGCAUUUGAAACUGGUGAACUAGAGUGCUGUAGAGGGGGGUAGAAUUUCAGGUGUAGCGGUGAAAUGCGUAGAGAUCUGAAGGAAUACCAGUGGCGAAGGCGGCCCCCUGGACAGACACUG